AAAGCAAAGUGCAGGGGGUUGAAGACUGAAGUGAAGGAGCUACGAUCCCUCAUUUCGGACUCAUCUGUUCAAAACGAGGAAACAAGCAAACAAAUAGGCGUCCAGACCAAAGUAGAAGAUGCUGUUUUGCAGCUCAAACAGGAAAAUGCCGAACUUCAAGAGCAGUUGCGUCGCCAACAGAUACUCCUCGAGACUAAAGACAACGAGAUUCAGGAACUGAGAUCAUCUCUGUGCAAAG